rnacentral:rRNA from 1 species
UUUAAAGAAAGCGUAAUAGCUCACUGAUCGAGUCGUCCUGCGCGGAAGAUGUAACGGGGCUAAGCCAGUUACCGAAGCUGCGGAUUUGCAAUUUAUUGCAAGUGGUAGGAGAGCGUUCUGUAAGCCUGUGAAGGUGUCUUGUAAAGGAUGCUGGAGGUAUCAGAAGUGCGAAUGCUGACAUGAGUAGCGUUAAAGGGGGUGAAAAGCCCCCUCGCCGUAAGCGCAAGGUUUCCUACGCAACGUUCAUCGGCGUAGAGUGAGUCGGCCCCUAAGGCGAGGCAGAGAUGCGUAGCUGAUGGGAAACAGGUCAAUAUUCCUGUACCGAUUACAAGUGCGAUGUGGGGACGGAGAAGGUUAGCUCAGCCAACUGUUGGAUAUGUUGGUUCAAGCCUGUAGUCAUGCCUGGUAGGCAAAUCCGCCGGGCUAAGAUGAGGGGUGAUAACGAGUGUGCUUGCACACGAAGUGAGUGAUACCCUGCUUCCAGGAAAAGCCACUAAGCUUCAGCUUGUAAUUGACCGUACCGCAAACCGACACUGGUGCGCGAGAUGAGUAUUCUAAGGCGCUUGAGAGAACUCAGGAGAAGGAACUCGGCAAAUUGACACCGUAACUUCGGAAGAAGGUGUGCCUUUAGUAGGUGAAGGGAUUUACUCCCAGAGCCCAAUGAGGUUGCAAAAAAUCGGUGGCUGCGACUGUUUAUUAAAAACACAGCACUCUGCAAACACGAAAGUGGACGUAUAGGGUGUGACGCCUGCCCGGUGCUGGAAGAUUAAAUGAUGGGGUGCAAGCUCUUGAUUGAAGUCCCAGUAAACGGCGGCCGUAACUAUAACGGUCCUAAGGUAGCGAAAUUCCUUGUCGGGUAAGUUCCGACCUGCACGAAUGGCGUAACGAUGGCCACACUGUCUCCUCCUGAGACUCAGCGAAGUUGAAAUGUUUGUGAUGAUGCAAUCUCCCCGCGGAAAGACGGAAAGACCCCAUGAACCUUUACUGUAGCUUUGUAUUGGACUUUGAACAGAUCUGUGUAGGAUAGGUGGGAGGCUUUGAAGUGAGGUCGCUAGAUCUUGUGGAGCCAACGUUGAAAUACCACCCUGGUGUGUUUGAGGUUCUAACCUAGGUCCAUUAUCUGGAUCGGGGACAGUGCAUGGUAGGCAGUUUGACUGGGGCGGUCUCCUCCCAAAGCGUAACGGAGGAGUUCGAAGGUACGCUAGUUACGGUCGGACAUCGUGAUAAUAGUGCAAUGGCAUAAGCGUGCUUAACUGCGAGACUGACAAGUCGAGCAGAUACGAAAGUAGGACAUAGUGAUCCGGUGGUUCUGUAUGGAAGGGCCAUCGCUCAACGGAUAAAAGGUACU